rnacentral:misc_RNA from 1 species
GAAAACUUGAAGAGGAAAGCAAGAAUGGAAAUUCUCAGCAAGAAGAAGAAGAUGACGACGAUGAUGAUGAGACGGUUAAAGCAAACUCUGAGCCCAUACAAGAAAUUCCUUUGCUUCGGGGGAAGUCAUCCGUUUUACAGAAUAAUAAAGCUGUACCAGAAAUUGGUAGUCCUGACAGAAUUAUGGCUCCCUACAUUAAUCCUCAAUCUGAGAUGACCAUGAGGGCCAUUGAAAAAUCGAAUUUAACAAGUCAGACAUCAAAUCUUUCUCAUCUCCCUCCACCACCAUCAGCAGGGCCACCUUUGCCUACGCCACCUCCGCCUCCUCCAUUCUCAACAAAGGAAAAUAAAACACCACCGCCACCUCCGCCACCUAAGGCAGUUGUUCUGGCUACGUCUUCAAAAUUACCCCCAGUGGCUAAAGGGAUGGCAAGCAAGGAUAAACCAGGGAAGUCUUCAGCUGGAGAAGGCAGGGAAGGAAACGGGAAUGGCCAGGUAAA